rnacentral:rRNA from 1 species
AUGAAAAGUCUCUUGAAAGGGAGAUUUUUGCCCGCUGAUUAUGACCAGAUCCUAUUUAUCCAAUUUCAAAAUUGUGCUCAAGGAAAUAGGACUGUUUCAGAUUAUACGGAGGAGUUUCUAAGGCUACAAGUGAGGUGCAACCUUGCUGAAACUGAAGAUCAACAAGUUGCAAGGUACAUCAAUGGUCUCAAUGAUGCUAUUCAAGAUCAAUUGAUGCUGCAACAAAUCUGGUCCGUUGAUCAAGCACAAGCUCUAGCCUUAAAGGCCGAGAGGUUUGUGAGGACAAUAAAGGCAACUAAGGCUCCAUAUCCUCCAUAUCCUCAUACCAAAGGCUUGUCUAGGAGUCGGCCUAAUAGAGUGGAAGAAAAGACCGCUCCACCAAAGGCAAAACGACCCAUCCAGAAGCAAACUAGAGGCAAGGGUAAGUCCAAUGAAGGCCCGAAAUGUUUUAAAUGUGGCGAAGAGGGACACAUAUCCAGCAGUUGCCCACUAAGGAAAUUUGUUAACACAACUACCCAUGAUGGUGAAGGCGAUGAGGAAGAAUACGAAUAUGAAGAUGUAGAGGGACAAGAGGUUUGUCAAGAAGGUGAAGAGGUGGUAUGUGUGAUUCAGCGUCUCCUAUGUUCCACACCACAACCUGACGACACACAACGGAAGAAAAUAUUUGAGAGCAAAUGCAUAGUGAAUGGCAAGAAAGGAUUGAAUAUGAGGAUCACCAAACAAUGCAACCUUCCACUUUCCUUGGGCAAGCAUUAUCGCUCAAAUGUGUUGUGUGACGUAGUUGAUAUGGACGCUAGCCAUGUUCUUCUUGGGAGACCUUGGCAACUUGAUGUGGAUACUACACACAAGGGCAAGGAAAACUCUUAA